CUGCCCUUGGACGAGCUCCCCAAAGCGCCGCUGGGCCCCGGAAGUCCCAGGGCUCGGACGCCAGGCCCAGACAGUAAGCGAGCACAGCCUGUUUGCUCAAAGGUGGACAGCCACCACUUUGCUGGCCAUGAAGUCCGGAACGAAAGCCACAUCACCUCAGACCCAAAGACACCAGCAUGACCAGAGGCGUCUGGCCUCCGGAGCCAGUUGCAAUGACACAGACUGGCUCACCUGCAGCUCCCCGGGUUGAUCCCCACGUGAUCCCUGGAGCCUGAGAUCAGAGCGCAACACUCGGCCAUAGACCUCCUCACAGCAGGCGGCUCCCGGAGAGCAGGUCACGAGGAUGGGCUGAGCUCUGGGCUUGUCCAGACAGGCAGGCUCGACGUCUGCUCCCCUUGGCUUGCCACUCAGCAGGAGGGAUGGGGGCAAGAUGCUCUUCUCCCAUUUUACAGGUUUUUCUUCUUGGAAGUCAGCAAGUUUCCUUCACUUCCGUCUGGCUCGCGGGAGCUCUUCGAGUCAACAGUCCCUCUGCUGACUUCAUUGUGAAAAAAUAUUUUUAUUUUGUAUUCAGCUCUGUGCUGCACCCAUUGCCUGCUGCUUGACUUCUUGGAAUGUCAAGUGGGCUGAGUCCCAGACAUUUCAU